rnacentral:rRNA from 1 species
UUUACAGGUCUGGCAAUUGGAAUGAGAACAAUUUAAAUCCCUUAACGAGGAUCAAUUGGAGGGCAAGUCUGGUGCCAGCAGCCGCGGUAAUUCCAGCUCCAAUAGCGUAUAUUAAAGUUGUUGCAGUUAAAAAGCUCGUAGUUGGAUUUUGGACCUCAUCCGGCGGUCCGCCUUAACGGUGAGUACUGACGGGUGGAGUCUUCCGGUUGAAGGCUAUCUGUGCUCUUCAUUGGGUGUAGGUAGAAUUCAGCCAAUUUACUUUGAAAAAAUUAGAGUGUUCAAAGCAGGCCUUUGGCUUGAAUACAUUAGCAUGGAAUAACAGAAUAGGACUUUGGUUCUAUUUUGUUGGUUUCUAGGACCGAAGUAAUGAUUAAUAGGGAUAGUUGGGGGCAUUAAUAUUUAAUUGUCAGAGGUGAAAUUCUUUGAUUUAUGAAAGAUUAACUUCUGCGAAAGCAUUUGCCAAGGAUGUUUUCAUUAAUCAAGAACGAAAGUUAGGGGAUCGAAGAUGAUCAGAUACCGUCGUAGUCCUAACCAUAAACUAUGCCGACUA